UAGUCCACGCCGUAAACGAUGGACACUAGUUGUUGGGCAUAAGUUCAGUGACUAAGCGAAAGUGAUAAGUGUCCCACCUGGGGAGUACGGUCGCAGGAUUGAAACUCAAAGGAAUUGACGGGGGCCCGCACAAGCGGUGGAGCAUGUGGUUUAAUUCGAUGAUACGCGAGGAACCUUACCAGGGCUUAAAUGUAAGUUGCAUUAGACAGAGAUGUUUAUUUCUUCGGACUACUUACAAGGUGCUGCAUGGUUGUCGUCAGCUCGUGCCGUGAGGUGUCAGGUUAAGUCCUAUAACGAGCGCAACCCCUAUUUUUAGUUGCUAACAGGUUAAGCUGAGGACUCUAGAGAGACUGCCGGUGCAAACCGUGAGGAAGGUGGGGAUGACGUCAAAUCAUCACGGCCCUUACGUCCUGGGCUACACACGUGCUACAAUGGUAAUGACAGAGGGCAGCUACCUGGCGACAGGAUGCGAAUCUUUAAACNUUAUCACAGUUCGGAUUGGAUCUGCAA
rnacentral:rRNA from 1 species